UCCGAGUUGAUUAAGUCUUGUCCGGCCUCGAUGCGUCCGCACACCCCAUAUCGUUGACCUUGAGUUCACCUGCGGGACACGUUGAUGAUGGUCGUACGAGCACAUCGAUUGUCCACAAGAUAUCCGAGAUGAUUUGUAAGGAAAAGCUCCGGUUGACUGAUGGUAGACAGCAGAUGCGCUUCGAGACUGAGGCGGACAAUUCUUUCGCCGGGGUGGAAAAGUGCGUGGCCGGAGGGAUGACUGCGAGGGCUGCAGGCACCGAGCGCUCGAGUUAGUCUCGGCCAGAACACAGGCCCAGCAGGAUCAUCGUACACGCACACGAGGCGCGUGGAGUGCGUGGAUCGAAUAAACCGACACGACGCUUCACGCGCCGGAUCAUCGGGCGAGUGCAGGCAGUGGUGCUUCGGGAAUAAGGUGUGCUCUCCCCGCCGCCCUCAUUCCGUACAUUCGAGGACACUCGCGCGAGUAAGGAGACGCUCCCCGACUCUGCUGACUUCUUAUUUCAUUUUCUUUCACCUGCCUCGCACGCGGAUUUUUUUCUUUCUUCGCGUUUUCGAUUCCGCGAAUGACCGCGAAGAUCUGGAAAACGUUCUUGAGGGAAGGCGACAUCCGAAGAGUGACUACGGAGCACGGCAGAGACUCUGUGUUGCACCAGCUCUUAGUUUCAGGUUAGGAGCCUGCUAGGACGGGUCUCGUUCUCUCUUCUUGAGGUCAUCCAAACGAGAGCGGACGAAAAGGUUUGCGACCCGGGUGCGUCAGUGGAACUACGAAACUACGAAAGGAGA